UACAGAGGGUGCAAGCGUUAAUCGGAGUUACUGGGCGUAAAGGGUGCGUAGGUGGGUGAUUAAGUUGGAUGUGAAAUCCCUGGGCUUAACCUGGGAAGGUCAUUCGAUACUGGUCAUCUAGAGUACUGUAGAGGGUAGUGGAAUUUCCGGUGUAGCGGUGAAAUGCGUAGAGAUCGGAAAGAACACCAACGGCGAAAGCACUCUGCUGGGCCGACACUGACACUGAGAGACGAAAGCUAGGGGAGCGAAUGGG
rnacentral:rRNA from 1 species